UAUUUUAAAAGAUGAACGCAGCAUCCGCCACUAUGUUCACGAAGAAAAAAAGGUACCACUUGGGUCUAGGUAGUCUUUUGUAGAUGGUAACUGUCAGAUAUGCUCUGGUAUGAAAGUGGUAUCUACAGAGGAAUCAGAAUAGAGCAUUUGAUAUCAACUCAAAAGUCGCCCUUGCAAUGAUGCACUUUGAAAUGGGUCCUGAUCAUGUGAAUUUUCUCAGCACAUUUAACAUAUACCCCUUCCUGAUCUUAAGACACUGAAAAAGAAGGAGAAAUGUAUAGCAUUGCCACUUAUGGAUGAGGCAUCUGAUUCCUUCAAAACUGCCAGUGCCGAAGAAAAAGCUAGUUCUCCUAGUGAUGAAUUGGAAUGCAGUUUUGAAGCUGAUUGGCAAAAAAGAGGCGCUGGUUGUCAAUAUAACAGUAACACAGGGUCAAGUAAAGGCAUGGAGCCUGACAUGGCUUUAUCCAUGGUUACAGUAGUAUGGACGACAGAGGGUGCAAAGUUGGCAUUAUUCACACAGACAAUGACUCUUCAACAACAUCAAGGCUGAAGCAAAAGUUUGCAAAGAUAAAAAAAGACAACAUUAGAAUCAUGUUAAAAAAACCUGUUGAAACAACUGUAUUCAGCAGCAAAUAAGUACAAAGAACUGAAGGGGAAAGGAGUUAUUCCUUACAUACUCAGAUGCUAUAUGUAUGCUUUAAGUUCAAAACAGCUAAAGGAUGAUGCUCUCUGUGAAAGAUUAGACAGUAUAGUCCCACACCUAUUUGGAGACCAUUCAGGCUUGGGGAUUGGUGCACAUAUUUCAAGCAACCAGAAACUUACAGGGUUUUUUUUUUAAUUGAAGGAUGUUAUGCAUGAAGAGGUCCAUUUCUAUUUUUUUUGCAUUGGAAAGAUCUUCUAGCUCUCUUCUUUUUGAAUAGGUGGUUUAGAUGGCAGAGACACAAAAACAAAUAUGGCGUCGUUUAGUCUAAAUAACAUUAAUAAAUUUAUGAAUGAAGAUAUAUUAGAAUGUAAGGUGUUAUAAACGUUUUUAUGGUAUGCCAGCCAUAGUAGGACAUAUCUGUAGGACGAUAAGCUGGAUGAAUAUAAGAACUAGCCUACACUGACAAUAACAGUUAAGGGACUUAUUUGAAAUUUUUUGGACAGAAUUUUUAUUCAUUGGUGGUUAACACUACUUUCAACACCAUCAUGAUUGGGCUAGUAUAGUUUGUUUAAUUAAAUAGAUGAGGAAUGAAGAA